UACGUAGGGUGCGAGCGUUAAUCGGAAUUACUGGGCGUAAAGCGUGCGCAGGCGGCUUCGCAAGUCAGAUGUGAAAUCCCCGAGCUUAACUUGGGAAUGGCAUUUGAAACUACGAGGCUGGAGUGUGGCAGAGGGAGGUGGAAUUCCACGUGUAGCGGUGAAAUGCGUAGAGAUGUGGAGGAACACCGAUGGCGAAGGCAGCCUCCUGGGCCAACACUGACGCUCAUGCACGAAAGCGUGGGGAGCAAAC
rnacentral:rRNA from 1 species